GUAGGUGGCAAGCGUUGUCCGGAAUUAUUGGGCGUAGAGCGCGCGCAGGCGGGUCCUUUAAGUCUGAUGUGAAAGCCCACGGGCUCAACCGUGGAGGGUCAUUGGAAACUGGGGGACUUGAGUACAGAAGAGGAAAGCGGAAUUCCAAGUGUAGCGGUGAAAUGCGUAGAGAUUUGGAGGAACACCAGUGGCGAAGGCGGCUUUCUGGUCUGUAACUGACGCUGAGGCGCGAAAGCGUGGGGAGCAAACAGGAUUAGAUACCCUGGUAGUCCACGCCGUAAACGAUGAGUGCUAAGUGUUAGGGGGUUUCCGCCCCUUAGUGCUGCAGCUAACGCAUUAAGCACUCCGCCUGGGGAGUACGGCCGCAAAGGCUG
rnacentral:rRNA from 1 species